GACGAACGCUGGCGGCGUGCUUAACACAUGCAAGUCGAACGCUGAAGCUCAGCUUUUGUUGGGUGGAUGAGUGGCGAGCGGGUGGGUAACACGUGAGUAACCUGCCUCCUUCUUUGGGAUAACGCCCGGAAACGGGUGCUAAUACUGGAUAUUCACUGGUCUUCGCAUGGGGGUUGGUGGAAAGGGUUUUUCUGGUGGGGGAUGGGCUCGCGGCCUAUCAGCUUGUUGGUGGGGUGAUGGCCUACCAAGGCUUUGACGGGUAGCCGGCCUGAGAGGGUGACCGGUCACAUUGGGACUGAGAUACGGCCCAGACUCCUACGGGAGGCAGCAGUGGCGAAUAUUGCACAAUGGGCGCAAGCCUGAUGCAGCGCCGCCGCGUGAGGGAUGGAGGCCUUCGGGUUGUGAACCUCUUUCGCUCAUGGUCAAGCCGCAACAAUGGUUGUGGUGAGGGUAGUGGGUAAAGAAGCGCCGGCUAACUACGUG
rnacentral:rRNA from 1 species